AGAGUUUGAUCCUGGCUCAGGAUGAACGCUAGCGGCAGGCUUAAUACAUGCAAGUCGAACGGUAAGGUUUCUUCGGAGACACACGAGUGGCGCACGGGUGCGUAACGCGUAUGCAACCUACCUUUAACUGGGAGAUAGCCCCGAGAAAUCGGGAAUAAUACCCCAUAAUAUUCAGAGGACACCUGUUUUUUGAAUCAAAGUUCCGGCGGUUAAAGAUGGGCAUGCGUGGCAUUAGCUAGUUGGUAAGGUAACGGCUUACCAAGGCUAUGAUGCCUAGGGGUUCUGAGAGGAUAUACCCCCACACUGGUACUGAGACACGGACCAGACUCCUACGGGAGGCAGCAGUAAGGAAUAUUGGGCAAUGGACGCAAGUCUGACCCAGCCAUGCCGCGUGCAGGAUGACUGCCCUAUGGGUUGUAAACUGCUUUUAUACGGGAAAAAAAUAUCCGACGUGUCGGAAGCUGAUGGUACCGUAUGAAUAAGCAUCGGCUAACUCCGUGCCAGCAGCCGCGGUAAUACGGAGGAUGCAAGCGUUAUCCGGAUUUAUUGGGUUUAAAGGGUGCGCAGGCGGAAUGAUAAGUCAGUGGUGAAAGCUUCCGGCUCAACCGGAAAAUUGCCAUUGAUACUAUCGUUCUUGAGUACAGUUGAGGUAGGCGGAAUGUGUCAUGUAGCGGUGAAAUGCUUAGAUAUGACACAGAACACCGAUAGCGAAGGCAGCUUACCAAAUUGAAACUGACGCUCAUGCACGAAAGCGUGGGGAUCAAACAGGAUUAGAUACCCUGGUAGUC
rnacentral:rRNA from 1 species